AGUAAUAUGGUAUCAACUAUUCUUCAUUGCUACUUAUUAGAUUCUAGGCACUAUUCUAAGAUUUCACAUCAGGACUUUUCAACAGCAGCACUAUGACAUUUUUUCUAGAUAAUUCUUUGCGGUUGGAGGGGGCUACAGGAUAUAGGAUGUUUAGGAGCAUCCCUCACUUCAACCCACUGGAGGCCAGUAGGGUCCCUUCCUGCCCCAAUCGCUUGUACCAACCAGGAUGUCAACCAGAUAUUGCCAAAGCUCCCCUGUGGGUGGGGUUGGGGACAGAAUUGCCCCUGAUGAGAGGCGCUGCCUCACGUGAGCUCUGUCAUUUAAUCUUCACAAUUCUCCGAGGUGGGUCCUAUUACUAGUCCUGGUUUACAGAUGAGGAAACUGAGGCACAGGGAGGUAAAUAUUUGCCCCGAUAAUGCUGCACUAAAAAUGCUUCUGAAAAAGGGAAGCUCGUAAACAAUUGUCAUCGAGGGUCUGGAAGAGAGCGCUGAUGUAAUUAAGGAGGGUGUCUCAGGCUGAGUAUGAGGAAACCCUACUGCUAACCCUCUGUUGUUACCUCCCAUCCCUCGGUCCUCUCGUCUGUGCUGUGGGAGUGGGGAGCGGCAGGUCUUUCAUGCUCCUUCUGCUAGUGGAAUUCCUGCUUUCUAGCAUCCCUUCAUUUCAUCACUGGGUGCUUGUUUGCUCAGGAUUAUGCCUCAUCUUCGUAAGUCAGACAUGAUCCUGGCGCUUCAGACACUCAGCUUUGCAACUCCCUCAAAAUGGGAGCCACAGGCAUGUGGGGGGUUGAGCUUUAUCCUGCCCAGCCCCUCGCUCAGUGGGGGUGAACAGAGUGAGAGGCAGGACUUGAAAGUAUUUGCCCAGAAUCAUACAGCAAGAUAGCAUCAUGUGCAAGAGGCAGCCAUGUGUACUCCGAGUCCACACUGCCAUUCUUGUUGGCCUUUGCAGGCCGGCCUCCUGAAAAACUUGUCUCUGCUCACUUCUUCAGUCUCUUCUCCUUCUGUCUUCCCUUCAACCUACUCUAAUCAGAAGAUAGAGACAGAAGUAAGCAGUGAACUAGGCAGGACCAAACCAAACCAAGAGUUGUGUGUUGACCAGCCAAUGAGGAAGUUAUGUGUGGGAGAGAACAUGGUAAACUAUGUCUUCUUCUCCCCCAUGUCUAUGUCUGUGUGUGUGCGUGCAUGCGUGUGUGUGUGUGUGUGUGUGGUGGGGGGAGGCUGGUAUUUUAUUUAUUGGACAAAUAUUUAUUGUCUAGCACUAUGUGCCAAAUACCAACUUAAGACAUCUAUAAGAAUUUCAAUUUCUCUGAGACCCAGGCUAAGAUUUUCCAUUAAAUUCACAUGAGUCUAUUACAUCUCUUUCUUUCAUUUCCACCUGGGUAGUCAGGAAAACACAUUAGACAUAUUUUUAAAAAUUAAAGUUAACACAGAGUGUUACAAACUUUGAGAGAAGCAAUAAUUUUGAGUUGCACUAGUAAUCACAGCAACAACCCCAAAUACCACAUUUAUUGUCUCUUACAAAGCAUCAUAAGUUACAUUAAUCACUGGUUUUAACUACAUUCUGUUACAGUUUGGACUCUAGUAACUAGGCAAAUACAAACCAACAAAACAGCAUAUAAAACCACAUGGAACAAAAAGCACACUACUCUCCAAUAUGCAUUUUCUGGAGCCAAUCUGAUAUUUAACUGGGAUAAGACAUUCUAAAUAGCAACUGAAAUAUUGAUAUACCAGAACAUCAUGAAAUAAAUAUUUUUCCCAACUCUGAAGACAUUCCUUUCCUCAUGCAAAAUUUACCAAAAAGAAAAAAAAAAAGGAAAAAACAAAAAAUAAACAAAAAACCAGGCUGGGCAUGGUGGCUCACACCUGUAAUCCCAGCUUGGGAGGCCGAGGUGGGUGGAUCACCCGAGGUCAGGAGUUUGAGACCAGCCUGGCCAACAUGGUGAAACCUUAUUUCUACUAAAAAUACAAAAAUUUGCUGGAUGUGGUGGUGCAUGCCUGUAAUCCCAGCUACUUGGGUGGCUGAGGCAGGAGAAUCGCUUGAACCCAGGAGGCGGAGGUUGCACUGAGCCGAGAUUGCACCAUUGCACUCCAGCCUGGGUGACAAGACCAAAACUACGUCUCAAAAAAAAAAAAAAAAAACAAAAAAAAGAAAACCCUACAAAACCAACCCAAGUUCAUAGUAACCAGAAUUUUCAAAUAUUUCUCUGUGAUCAGCACCUAAAAAUGUAUUUUAAAAUGCUUAUUUUAAUGGCCAGGCACAGUGGCUCAGGCCUGUAAUUCUAGCUGGGAGGCAGAGGCGGGUGGAUCACCUGAGGUCAAGAGUUCAAGACCAGCCUGGCCAACAUAGUGAAAUCCCAUUUCUAGUAAAAAUACAAAAAUUAGGCAUCGUAGUGUGGACCUGUAGUUUCAGCUACUUGGGAGGCUGAGGCAGGAGAAUCGCUUGAAUCUGGGAGGCAGAGGCUGGAGUUAGCCAAGAUGGCACCAUUGCACUCCAGCCUGGGUGACAGAGCGAGACUCCGUCUC
rnacentral:lncRNA from 1 species